CACAGGUCACAGGUCCUUUCUCUUCCAGUACUGUGUGCAUACUGCAUAUUUACCGUGUAGUAGCUGUUUGCCAAAGCGGCUUAGAGACGAUUGGCAUGUCCUGAGAUCCACAGUGGAUGAAGCCAAGGCGCAGGAAGCAGUUGUGAAAUCCAACCAAUACUUAACACACAUUAUUUCCUGUGGAACAUUCUGGAGAACUCACAGGCUUUAUGAGGAACUACCUUGCUCCGUAUUAGGAUAAGGGAUGUUCUACCAAGCUGGCCUAAGGCAGUGACACCAGCCUGGAGAGUGCCUGCCCGCCUGUACCUUCACCCGAGGCAAGCCUAUGAUGUCCUGAGUUCUGGCCACAGUCUUGAACUUGCCACCUCAGUGACAGGCUACUCUUGCUGUGGCUCAUGUCAAGGUUAGGAGGCCACAUGCGUGCUAUCACUAUCUUCUCCAUAACGGACCAGGAUAUAAAAGUAGAGAGAACUCCAAGAGUGAAGACGGAGAAAGAGUGAAGAUGGAGACCGGAAGGAAUGAUUCCCAUUGUGACUACUUUCUGUUUUAUGAGAGUGCUGUACAGUCAGACUGAAGACGGUCUUCAGAACGCUGUUGGAGUCCGGAAUGUCUGGCAAAUGCAUCUAGGCCCAUUUCUCAAGCCACACGUCAUGUUCAGACUAUCGGUGGCCUCAGCUGCAUCCUAAACAAGCCUUCUAAAGCGUGGUGUGUGUGCUUAAAUAAUUAGCGGGAGUAGCAUGGCCUUGAGGCCACUUCCAGUGGGCCCUGUACUUUUAUCAAUUAUGCAACAGGAGCAUUGUGCAAUGUGAGCCUCACUCGUGUUUUCUGCGAGCUGCUAAAGUACCCAUGUCCAAAUCUGCGUUUAUUUCCUUUUGCUUAGCGUAAGCCCCACACUUAGGCAAGUAAGUUGUUCUAAACCAGCCAAUUUGGGGAAUUCAAGGUCAGCAAGUGACCCUUGGUAGCAAAUUGUAGAGAAAUAAGUUAUACCCAGGGCUAGUGUUUGCUAGGUCAUGCAGUAACUAUAAUCACUCUUGCGUCAGCCAAGACGAAAACACCUGCGAUGAACUGUCUUAAAAAAAGGAAGGAUUUAUGUUGGUUCACUGAUUCUGAGGCUUCACUCCAUGGUGCCCUGACACCAUGUUUAUGUAUCACUAUGAUGGGAUCAUGUGCACGGAAAGGGUCUUCUUGUGGUGGUUGGGAUGCAGAGAAAGAGGAAGAGACAGAGAGACAGGUCUACUUCAAAGAUUUGCCCUGGUAUCAUGAGACUUCCUCCCACUAGGUUCUACACACUAAAGUUUACAGAAUGUUCCAAAAUAUCCAAAACGCUUAGUUCGCAACUAAGCAUUUUACAUAAGAGACUAUGUGGGAACAUUUCACAUUCAAACCAGAACAGGUAAUGACAGUGAUUGGUCUUUACUCACUCCACGAAAUAAACGGUCUAGAUUGAGAUUCUUAUAGUUCCUAGUCCCGGUCAGGAGCUGGGACGGGGAAAGAAGCAAGCUGUGAAAGUGCAGGUGUCAUGAAGGUAAGAUGUCCAUUUCAUCGUUUCUACAGCGUUUGCCUUCUGAUUCUAACAGAAUGCAAUAACAAAUCCAUGAAGGGUUAGAUGCAGUUGCUUAGAUGUUGGUUGUUUUCAGCUUUCACACUGGGGCAGGGGUGGGGGGCAGCUAUGCCUCUGAGCUUAAAAGUCCAUUCAGUACAGGAAAGAUUUACCCUUCAUAGCUUGCUGUUGAUAGGCUUGCAUGUGACCCUCAUUGCUAUCCAUAACCUAGGCUAGGCUUUUGUGCAUGAGGCAAGCCUCCCAAAAACUGACUAAAGUAUACACAAGUGGUACUUAAGGGUUAUGAUUGGCAUAUGAAAUGAUGCCCCACAGGCUUCUCUGUUUGAACAUGUGGUUCCCAGCAGGUGACGCUGUUUGAAAAGGUUACGGAAUCUUUAAGAGGUAGAGCCUUGCUAGAGGAAGCACAUCAUUGGGGACGGACUUUGAAAAUGCAUAGCCUUACAUAGCUUCCUGCUCUGGCUCUCUGCUUCCUGCGUGGGGAUGAAAUGUGACCUUUCUGCUUCCUGGCUGCCAUGAUGACCACACACUCUUGCUGCCAUGAAUUUUAUAUCCAUUUAGAACUAAGCCCAAGUAAACUCUUUCCUUCUCUAAGAUGCAUUUUUUUUUGUCAAAUAUUGUAUCAUACCAACAGAAAUGUAAGCAAUUUAUGUCAGUCUUAUGAGGUGCAGGGGAACACAUAUUUAUUUAUCUUUACAUUAUUUAUAGAAAAUAUCUGGAUUUUUCUAUAAAUAGUAGUAAUAUAGUUUCCCAUUUACGGUAGUCAUUUAAGUAAAAAGAGCAAUUUACAUGAAGGAAAUUAAUAAUAAAAUCGCCAGUCACUAAUAUCACAAAAAAUUGUGAGGCUAGUUUAAAAAUGAUGGGAUUCCAGGAUUUCCUAAUCUAAGACUUCAGCUCUCGAUAAUGCCUGGUAUUCUUUACCAAGCUCUUUGCUGAACCUGACAUCCUUCUAAGCACAUGGAGUUUAGUAUGUUAUUAAAUUCUAUGGUA